GGUGCUCCCUCUGGUCCGCAAAGGUCGUUAUGCCACAGCAACACUGGCUCCGAAGUGCGACGAACACGCCCGAGCGCGAUCUUCACAAAGUGUAAGAAAGUGCACCGCAACGAACGCCGCGACGACGACAGCGCCCGGCCGGGUGUGGCAAUGCGCCUAAUUAAACACUUGAUUAUUUUGUAAUUAAAACAACCAAAUUAAUAACAAUUUAAAAGAAGGGUUCAUGUAAGGGUAAUUAUGUCUAAUUGUCUUAUAAGCAUAUGUUGUGUAAUUUGUUUCUAAGUCCAAAACUGGUCGGGUCGGUUUUCCCGCGUUCCACGCGUUUAGGCGCGAGGCCGCCGGGCGGUCUCGCGCCCAGUCUUGAACUCGGGCUCCCAGGGGUCGGACGCUCCGCGAACGUCGGGCCAGCACUUCUAGUUUUCUCUUCAACAUUUCAGCAAUAGUGGUUCUCUGCACAGCACAGGAAACAACGGAAGCGAAGAUCUCGGCGAGGAGGAGCUGUCACAUCUGGCGGAGAGGCUGGAGCCCUGCGAUCUUCAUGCCUCGGUGCAGAACCUGCCUGGCGGCGCUGAACAGCAGCAGCCUCUGGGCUGCCGUGUGGCCGUCCUGGUUCUUCACCGGCAGCACCCUCAGCGCUGCGUUGAUCUCGCUGCUGCCGACAACCCACAGCCCACGUGGCCAUCAGUACUGCUCUCUAUCGCAGCUAACCCGAGCUCUUUGGAACUCGUGGGACGAGACGAUGAGAGAUCACUGACAAUAACUGCAGAUAUUCCCAGAACAUCCGCCGUGUCAUCGCUGAUAUCGCCCAAGUCUAUCUUUGUGGCUGCAAUCCAAACAAAGAAAAACUUACACAAAAAGUGAUGUUCCAUUGGUAUGUUGCUCAUUUUCAUGACAGUAACAGAAAAGGUGUAAAGGUAUGUCUGUGGUGUGAAGGUAUAUCUGUGUUGUGUAUGUGUUUGUGUUUGUGUUGUGUAUGUGUAUGUGUAUGUGUAUGUGUUGUGUAUGUGUCUGUGUUGUGUAUAAGAGUAUGUGUGUGAAUGAGUAUGAGCAUGUGUUUGUGUGUAGAACUAAAUUUUCCACAAAAACAGUGACAUUUACUACACACUAUAUUUCAAUAUGCUAACCCAAAUGUAA